CAAUUACUUAAUCCUAACUAGAGACCUAUUAUUGGAUUUAAAUCACACACAAAUAUUUCCCACUUUUAGGUAAACUCUACAGGAACACAAUGUUGUAGCCAAUUCAUCACCUAGUUUAGCUGGAAAUCUGCAUUUUGAGUACAUUAGCUUUAGCUGGUGAUUUUACCCAUGGUGUUGUAAAGGAUCAAAAAUAUUAAUUGAUAUGAUAAACCUCUUGAAGGAGCUAGUAGUCUUAGGCUGAGAGUCAGCCUUAGUGAACUGGUCGAUUGUGUUGCUUUUAUUUAAAUGGGUAAAAAUUGGUUUGUCCACAAUAGUUAGGCCUUCCUAUCAGUAAAAAUUUCAAGAAAGGAGCAUACUAUAAUAUAUUGAUUCCUCUCAUUAGUGUGGAUCAUUGCAACAAAGCAAGCCAAAGUUGAGUUCAAACUACGAAUACAAUGAAUGAGAAGUUUCUAUAGAAAUAAAAAGACACAUAGUUACAUGAAAAGAUACUCUCACUGAUCUAUCUGAGCUGUUCACUUCAAGUAAUCAUACUAUUUUCGAGUACCAUCUGUAUCAGAAACUACAUGUCUUAGGAUAAAACCUACAAACUAUUUCCAUAAAUAUCUUCAACAUCUUAUCAAUCCCUCUGAUAAGCAUGUCAAAUCUUUCUCUGGGAAGACGGAGUUUCUGCAUGUAGUAACACAUAAUUUUGAAUAAGCAACAAGAAUGGAUGAUUAUGUGUUACACACAGUUUUAGAAUGUGGAUAAAUCCCAUUUUGCAGGUGAUGCAAAGAGACUCCACAUGGUUAGGAUGGAUUGUAUUUGGAAACCUCAAAUGAAGCGCAAUUGCUUGCCUCCAAUGGUUUCAUGUUGGAAAAGCAUGUUAAGUAAUGCUGCAACGUGUUCGCUACAGUCUAUGAGAAGCUCUAUAAGCCCUGGCAGUUUGGAAAUGCAACUUGGUAAGCUAAUAAUAUUGUUGCUAUAAAAAAUGUUGCCAGUGAGAUCUAGAGUCUCCAAUGAAGAUAAGCGACAANAAAGGGGUUGAAACCCUUGAUUUUCUCAUCUGGCAUUAGUCACACAGCACUCAAAUGGUUGUUGACCUUCAAUUCAUGUCAACCCUCUCAUGUGACCCACAUAAUUUUGGGUCCACAAACUNUGAUGCAAAAAAUUAUAUUAAUUUCUACAUUCCCAUAGAAGGGACNUGANGCAUNCUUUUNUGUUUUUACCCUGUUGGUGUCUCNUGCCUAAUGUUUUUAUUUAUGUAUAAUUGUCCAAUCAAACUCAUUCCAUUUCUUGAACUNUAAAUUGGUCAUCCACUUUGAUUCUCCUCANUGCAGUCUCACCCNAAAUCAAAAUGGCNCAAGAAACUGUGGUGAAGAGGUCACCCUCUCAAGCAAAAUUUCACAGGGUUCAAUUUGCAAUAAGGCUGUUGGNGCUGGUUUUGUUCUUGGGUUGGAUUUUCAUUUGGAUAAUGUCACCCACAAAUACUUUUANACAAANNUGGCUUCCAAGAUACAGNGCAAAGACUGNCAAUACAACUUAUUUGGGUUCAAAAGGUCUUGUUAAUUUAUUCAAUNAUUACAUUGCUUUGAUUAUUUUAUGCUGAUAUUCCCCUGUAAUGUUUUCAUUGCAGGUUCUAAUCUUCUGAUGUACACAUUCUCAAUNUUGCUCAUAGCUACUUUGGGGUGUGUCUACCUCCACAUAAUAAAAAAAGCAAAUGACUCCAACAUGGAAAUGUACUAUUUUUCACCACUUACUCUGGUUAUAAUCUUUUGAUAAAUGGUUCAUUGUAAGAUUAACACAUAAAAAGGUGUACUACAAAUGACAUGAACAAAAAAAUAAAAAGCAUAAAACACACUCACAGAACUGUAUUUAAAGUUUGUAGAUUGCAGAAUAAGUUUUAUCAUAGUUUUGACAGUUACCCAGGAAAAUUUUUCUCUUGUAACAAAAGUUAAGGCCUUAUUUUUUUUUUAAUAUAUUAGUACUUAUAUGAUGAGAAAUAGUAAAUAACUAUGUGUUAUUUUAUAAAUUAAUUUACAAAAAGUUCUUUGUUUUAGUUUCUUCACAAACUGAUUAUAACUUGUAAAAAGUUAAAUUAGUUUUAUAUACUUAUUUUCUUAUCUUACAGAUACUUUUUUCAGCAAAAUGUUUGAUUUUUCAACUUUAGAAAAAUGAUGUGAGNGUGGGGACAAAGAAUUUAAUAAGCCUGUAAAGAAUUGUACUUGUGAUAGUUGACUUUUUCACAUGUAUAUAUGUUUUGUGCAUUAUCAGCAGCAACUCAAAGAAAUAUGAGAUAGCCCUAUGGAAGCGUUCAGUGCUUAUAAAAGGCCCUCUUGGCAUUGUCUCUGGCACAGAGCUUGCAUUCUUGCUCAUGUUCAUUGCACUCCUUGUCUGGNCCUUUGCAACUUCUUUAAGCAACAGCUUUGCAAAAAUCACCCCCGAAUCAGCAGCACAGGAUGGCGAGAAAAUGUAAACUUUUAUUAUGAUUACUAUUAGACUUUGAUUUCUAUACAUAAUUAGAGUAAAAAGUUAUUAACUGCAAAUCGAUCUAAAAUCAUUACUAGAUAACUUUUGAAGUAACUAUUAUAAAAGUCAGCAAAUUUAAUAUCAAUGACAUGAUACUUUUUAUACUGAAUGAUUGGAUGAUGGUAGAAAAAUCCUUAACAAUAUCAGUGCCUAAACUAUUUUUCCUAUUGUUUGCAGUAUGAUUAGUUUUUCAACUUUUACGACAAUUAUCUUAGAAAGUCGUAGAUUUUUGUGAUUCCUGGUAGAUUAACGGUGUAAAAGUGCAUUAUUAAACUAAAAACUAAGCUGAGCAUUUUGAUUGUUAUUGUUAAUUGUGAUACAUGUUGGUGGUGCAGAUGGGAAGAGAAGCUAGACAGUGCAGGAUUGAUAUCUGGUGUUGUUGGGAACAUAUGUUUGGUAUUCAUGUUUUUUCCUGUGGCUCGUGGUUCAAGCGUGCUGCCACUGCUUGGUCUCACUUCUGAAAGUUGCAUUAAGUACCAUAUUUGGCUUGGACAUAUUGCCAUGCCACUAUUCACUGCUCACGGUUUGAGCUUCAUCAUCCAUUGGGCAAUUAUUAAUCACUUGUCUGCGGUUAGUUAAGAACUUAUAGUAUAUUGAUUUCAUGGCAUGCAAUGUUUUAUCAUUUAUAUGAGUGUUGAUUGCCAUUAAUCCACCUUAUGUUGUAAAGAAAGUUUUUUUUUUUUUUUUUUUUUGUAACAAGUUAACUCAAGUAUGUUAAAAUUCGUAAUAAGUGAUUAUUUUAUUUGAAGAACACUUCUUUUCUACAAAAACAGUUUAAACAAAUAGACCCAUUGGCCCCCUUGUCACUUUGGAUAUUCCUCGCGCUUAUGCUUAUUGGUAUUCAUUUCUGACUUGCUUUAAGUAGCAAAUCGGUGAACACCACCAAAAGGGUUAAAAAUGUGAAUUUUUUAUGCUUGAACGGUCAAACUGUUUCUGUUGUACACUAAUCAUAUAAUUUUAAAUGAUUUUAUGCGUCUAUAUUUGUAGGAAAGUUUUUCAUUGAUAAAGAAAAAAGAUUUAUACAAUUAUGUAUGAAUUGAUUCUAGAAUUGUUACAGCAGAACAUUUUAGAGACCAAGCAACAAACCUGUCGCGGUGUUUUUCUUGAGCAAGUUGUCUGAAUUUUAUGUUUUGUUUUUUGUUUCAUAGUAUUGUGUGCACUGAGCUGAUGGGGCCAUGGCUUUUUUUCGUUGCAGAUGCUGGAAUGGAAGAAAAACGAUAUAUCAAUUGUGGCUGGAGAGAUAACUUUGCUUGCNGGUUUGUUACUAUGGAUUGCAACUAUUCCCCGCAUUAGGCGAACAUAUUUUGAACUCUUCUAUUACGCUCAUCACCUCUACAUCCUCUUCAUAGUCUUCUUCAUCUUUCAUGUUGGCAUUUCCUAUGCCUUAAUUAUGCUCCCUGGUUUCUACCUCUUCAUGGUCGAUCGUUACUUGAGGUUUCUGCAAUCAAGACGCCAAGUUCGUCUGGUUUCUGCUCGGGUNUUGCCAUGUGAAGCUGUGGAACUCAACUUCUCCAAGGGCCAUGGUAACUAACAUCAUGAUCUUAUCUCAGUAUCUCGAAGACACCUCUAGCUACUUCCUCAUAAAUGACUAAUUUAUUGAGACUUUUUUUAUGAGCUCAGGUUACAUGUUUUUUUUGCAGGAUUAACUUACAACCCCACAAGUGUGAUGUUCAUAAAUGUACCAAGCAUAUCCAAGCUGCAGUGGCAUCCAUUUACUGUUACUUCUAAUAAUAAUUUGGAGGCAGACAAGCUAAGUGUUNUUNUUAAAAGUGAAGGACCUUGGACCAAUAAGCUAUACCAGUUGCUUUCAACUCCUUCNACAAUUGAUCGCCUUUCUGUGUCUGUNGAAGGUCCUUAUGGACCUGCUUCAACCAACUAUCUACGGUUUGUAUCUUACAAGCAAAACACAACUUCAAACCUAAUGCUANAUCUGAGAUGAGUUCUUUGACUUUCACAUAAUAAUAANNUUUUGUAUUUUCUCCAUCAGGCAUGACACUCUUGUGAUGGUGAGUGGAGGAAGUGGCAUCACACCUUUUAUAUCCAUCAUUCGGGAGCUAAUACAUCUGAACACUAUAUUCAAAUGCAAAACCCCGAAAGUCGUCCUAAUUUGUGCCUUCAAGAACUCUUCUUCUCUGUCAAUGCUAGAGUUGAUCCUCCCAAUAAAUGGCANCCCUUCUGAUAUUUCUAAUUUAGAAUUACAAAUUGAGGCCUACAUCACAAGGGACAAGGAGCCUAAAGCAGAUGGCCCUAUUCACCCUCAAAUCAGAUGGUUCAAGCCAAAUCCAUCNGAUGAACCAGUACACGCUAUAUUAGGUCCAAACAGUUGGCUCUGGCUUGGUGCUAUAAUUUCAUCCUCUUUCGUNGUUUUCCUUAUCUUAAUAGGGAUCAUUACCCGUUACUACAUUUUCCCAAUUGAUCAUAACUCAAAUNAAAUAUUUUCCUACCCUUUGAAUGCAUUCCUUAACAUGCUAGUAAUAUGUGUGUCCAUAGCAAGUGUUUCCACUGCAGCUUUUCUUUGGAACAAGAAAUAUUAUGCUAAAGAAGGAAAGCAGAUUCAGAACAUGGAAGGGUCUACACCAACGGUGUCGCCAAACUCCAUGGUUUACAAUGUUGAUAGAGAACUGGAAAGUCUUCCAUAUCAGUCACUUAUUCAAGCCACCAAUGUGCAUUAUGGUGUAAGACCUGACCUAAGAAGUAAGUCACCUCCAAUUUCUUUAAUUAUGUCUUAGGGACUCAUGAAUGGAAUUGAAACCACUCAAUUUAUUUUUUCUUUUUACAGAGAUCCUAUUUGNGCACAAAGGGUCUAGUGUGGGAGUUCUUGCUUCAGGACCCAAAACAAUGAGGCAUGAGGUUGCAGCCAUUUGCUCCUCAUCUGNUUUAGCUGAGAAUCUGCAUUUUGAGUCUAUUAGCUUUAGCUGGUGAUUUUACUCAUACUGUUAUAAUGGGUGUAAUAGUGAGUGACCAAUGUCUGGAAGUACCUUGAAGGACUUGUUAAUUCUGUUGUUUUAUAUUUAAAUGACUGAAAAUUGUUCUCAAUAAUAAUUACGCCUUCAUAUGAGCAAGAUUAUAAAUAAAGGAAUUUACUAUAAUAUUUUAUCCUCAAAUAGUGUGGAUCAUAUUCACAAAACAUGCAAAAGCUGAGUUCAAACUACAAACAUGGAGAACGAGAAAUUACUAUUCAAAUAUCAAGACACGUGUAAUUACAUGAAAAGUUACUGAAUAAAUCACACCAUCUCAUUAACCAAUCCCAUCAAUAUAUAAAAUGAUACUAUUGUCAAGCACUAACUAUAUCAGAAACUCUAAGUAUCAUGCUAAAGCCUAGAAAUCAUUUCCAUAAAUAUCUUCAACAUCUUCCUCACAUACCAAAUGACAACCACACCUCAGUAUUUCCAGUGAAUGGCAGCAAUAACUUUUCAAUGCAAAUUCAAUUUCAUUGCAGUCCCACCUUCAUAUAUUUUGUGAAGGUGUUCAUCAAUGGACAAAGAGUACAUAAGGGUGAGGUAACAUCGAUCCAUGGAGGUAAAUUGCAUGGUUUAGAAUAAUCAUAUUCUUAAAAUAAUCAUAUUCUUAAAAUAAUUAUAUUCUCGUAUUAUUUAAUUUAUAAUAAAUCUAAAAUAUGAAUUCAUUAAUAUAUUAUAUUCCAAUUACUUAAUCCUAACUAGAGACCUAUUAUUGGAUUUAAAUCACACACAAAUAUUUCCCACUUUUAGGUAAACUCUACAGGAACACAAUGUUGUAGCCAAUUCAUCACCUAGUUUAGCUGGAAAUCUGCAUUUUGAGUACAUUAGCUUUAGCUGGUGAUUUUACCCAUGGUGUUGUAAAGGAUCAAAAAUAUUAAUUGAUAUGAUAAACCUCUUGAAGGAGCUAGUAGUCUUAGGCUGAGAGUCAGCCUUAGUGAACUGGUCGAUUGUGUUGCUUUUAUUUAAAUGGGUAAAAAUUGGUUUGUCCACAAUAGUUAGGCCUUCCUAUCAGUAAAAAUUUCAAGAAAGGAGCAUACUAUAAUAUAUUGAUUCCUCUCAUUAGUGUGGAUCAUUGCAACAAAGCAAGCCAAAGUUGAGUUCAAACUACGAAUACAAUGAAUGAGAAGUUUCUAUAGAAAUAAAAAGACACAUAGUUACAUGAAAAGAUACUCUCACUGAUCUAUCUGAGCUGUUCACUUCAAGUAAUCAUACUAUUUUCGAGUACCAUCUGUAUCAGAAACUACAUGUCUUAGGAUAAAACCUACAAACUAUUUCCAUAAAUAUCUUCAACAUCUUAUCAAUCCCUCUGAUAAGCAUGUCAAAUCUUUCUCUGGGAAGACGGAGUUUCUGCAUGUAGUAACACAUAAUUUUGAAUAAGCAACAAGAAUGGAUGAUUAUGUGUUACACACAGUUUUAGAAUGUGGAUAAAUCCCAUUUUGCAGGUGAUGCAAAGAGACUCCACAUGGUUAGGAUGGAUUGUAUUUGGAAACCUCAAAUGAAGCGCAAUUGCUUGCCUCCAAUGGUUUCAUGUUGGAAAAGCAUGUUAAGUAAUGCUGCAACGUGUUCGCUACAGUCUAUGAGAAGCUCUAUAAGCCCUGGCAGUUUGGAAAUGCAACUUGGUAAGCUAAUAAUAUUGUUGCUAUAAAAAAUGUUGCCAGUGAGAUCUAGAGUCUCCAAUGAAGAUAAGCGACAANGCAGUUUGGAAAUGCAACUUGGUAAGCUAAUAAUAUUGUUGCUAUAAAAAAUGUUGCCAGUGAGAUCUAGAGUCUCCAAUGAAGAUAAGCGACAAGUUAAGUCUUCUUGGAUUUGCUUUUAGUUUCACUUCAAAAAAACCUCUUGCUAAUAAAAGUAUCUUAUGUAUAUAUAAAAUCAUGUUUAUCUUUUGUUUUAUUUUAUAUAAGACUUUGUUUGUAUUAGAUAUAGCAGUCCCCUUUAAAGAAAGCACUGACAAAUGUUCCAUGCUUUCCACAAACUCUGGAAGACGUUUAAAUUGAGAACAACCAGAAAGAUUUAAAUCAUUCAAGGAACUGUCUCCAUUUUCCUUGGAAGAGUUUUGAACUUUUUGCAGUGUUUUAAAUUCAACUUAACAAGUUUCUUGUGGCGUACAAGGGAUGGAUGAACCUCAGUUAAACUGGUGCAACCUUCAAGAAUCGAUGUCUUUAGCAAGUGCUCAUCUCUAGUUGUGAUUAUUAGUCUGCUUCCUGAUCAAACCAUUCUCGCUUUUCAGCUAAAUUUUCUACUUGUCUUGUGUCACUUACAUUAUCAAGAACGAGAAGUACCUUUUUCUUUCUUAAAAUGUUUGCUAUUAUCUUUUUCUCAUCAUAAAGAUUAUAAAAAUCAUUGCUUUUUACACCAAGAUGAGAAAGAACUUCCUUUUGAAUGAGAACUAAGUCAUUUGUCUUGGACAACUCUGUGAUGUUUUCAAGAAAGCAACAAUCCGUGAAUUUCUCUUUAAUUUUUUCAUAGACUAAUCUAGCAAUUGUUGUUUUACCUAUGUCUCCAUGCCCCAUAUUCCUAUGAAGUGAAUAUCAUUUAAUUCUAUGCCCAUGAGUGAAAUCACUUCUUUCAUCUGUGAAUCAAUUCCAACAAGAUUAUCUGUGACACAUGCAAGUCUAGGAAUUAUUUUUUUCUGCAUGUCUCCGACAAUUUUUUCAAUCAGUGUUGCUUCACUCCUGUAUUUAGAAAAAAACUAUGAUAUGUUAACACUAUUUUUCAACAACUUUUUGACAAUAAACUAUGUAUGAUUAUUUUAUUGAUUCGUAUAUUUGAAACGGAUUAAUCAUAAACUAUCACAUAGAUUUUUGUAAAAAAGUUAUAAAAAAAGUUAUUAAAAAAACAUUUUUCUUUAGAGAAAGACAAAAAGAAUUUUAUUUUAAUAGUAGCCAUAAAAUAGUAUAGCAAUAAAUAGAGAUAGAAGGUUGUCAUUUUAUAUUUUGCAAAUCCAAGGUUAAGUGAUAAAAAUAUUCUACUAGAGUUCCCUUGCUUGAUUUUCAAUGUACCAAACACAAACAAAGAAAUGACUAAAGUAGGUUCUUGAUCCCUUAUUUAUCUUACUAUUAUUUUUUCAGUUUGAUCGGCUAAGUUUAAAAUGUUUUACUUUAGUACCUUAAAUUGUCUCCAGCAUAACAAAUUAAUCCUUAUAUUAGUUUCUUUACUAGCAAUGUCAAUUUUGGUUAACUUAGCAAAAAUUCAUUUGAUUUGACAUCAUCUAUCUCCAAAUUAACCCAUAUAGUAUGGUAAUGCACAGGCUUGCAUGAAGACUGUGGUUAAUGCACAAGCAGAUAAUAAUAUUUUUCCAAAUAUUAAGAAAGGAAAAAAAGAAAAAUCAGAUGAAUAAUAUUAUCUUCUAAGGUAAAUAAAUAGUAUUUAAAAAACAAACACUUGUUGUAUUUCUCUAUUUCCAUAAAAAGAUUUCAUUUGUUUCCGUUCUUCACAUCAUUCUUUCUUCUCUCCUUGAUUCUUCUCUCCUUGAUUUAUACCUCAAGUUAAAUUAUUUCCUUUUAUCAUUUUUACAAAUUUAUAGUAAAAUUGAAAAGGUCAAAAUUGCACUAGAGAACAUGAAGUGCCAUGCUAGAUUUGAGCAAACUUUUUUAGAUCAUCUUGCCACGUUGAACAACGAAAUAGUGCACCUCAAGAAAUAACCUUUAAUUCAACAUGUACUGAAGUUAACUAACACCAUGAAAAAGCAAGAAAAACUAUGAUUCUCUUAUCAGUGGUGAGUUCAGCUGGAGCAAAAAUAAAACUAUGCGUGGUUAGAAAACUGGAUGACAAAAACCUGGAGUGAACACAAAAACAUGCACAAGAAUCAUUAAUCACUAAAUACAUGACUCCCACUUCAUAGGAAUAGAGCCAAUGAAAUGGUUUGUUAUGAAGGUCGUGGAGGAAUACCAGAAUUGUGGAGAAAAUGAAUGAAUAUAGGCAUGAAAUUUUGUUUGUUCCAGUGUUGUAAAAGUAUACUGAAGCAUACUUUUCUAAAAUAUUCUUAACCAAGUUAAGUGAGCAUUUUGCUUGUUGACUGAAGUGCUUCUAUUGCUAGUUAGUAUACGGCAAAAAAUAAAUUCUAGCGUUUGUGUCAAACUCUGAGCCAAUGACUGCUUCUGGCUACUAGAACAAGAAAGAAAAUAACCAAAGAAAAUAACCGAAUGAUGUUGGUUCAUAUUCCUUUCCUAGUCACAACAAGAACCUCUGUUGCGGACAAGAAAAAGUUAAUAAAAGUGGUGUCAUUAUCUCGUAUAAAACAAAUAUUGCUCAACAAAUUUGGAUGUUGUUUCAAAGUAAUGCAAGCUCCAAAUCAAGUUUAUUGUCAAGAUUCAUGAAGACUAGUCUGAAUGAAUUUGGAAAUCCUUAUUAUUGGAGUUGCCCAACAAAAUAAAUACCUCGGUUGAAUCAAUCAAGCUAAAUCCUUGAAACUAGAAAGUUCAGUGCUGACUAAUAGUAGAACUUUCAUGUUUAGUGAUUACCUGUUAUUUUUAGGAUGAAAUGAUUGAAUUUCAACAUAUAUUUUCACCUCCCCAGAAUAAAAGUAUUAAAUUCUCAUCCCCAGUGUGCAAUGCUGAAACUGGAGAGGACAUAAAUCAACCGUAACAUUUAAAGUAUAUAUAUAUUACAGAGCAAUGGUACAAUGCAAAAUCAUCAAUGAAGGCAGUACAAGAGAAAAAUCUUAAUUCCACAUAGAGAAAAUCCUUCCAAAGUAAGACUGGUUACAUAGUGAGUAGUAAAACGCGAAACUCCUAAAUGCAUUUCAUCAAAUCAAGAGCAGGUUUAUUUUAGACAUUGAUAUCUCAAAACUACUUUGGAUUUGACUAAUCUGAAAGCUAUUUUAAAUCAUUUGGAUUUGACAGUCAAAUCCUUACUUAUGGAAAACCAGGGCCUCCUUCAGGGAGGUUUAGGGUGUGUUCUUUUGUAGUAAUUUGGAGGAGGAGAUGAUUUGAGUGAAUUUGAAGGUAAUAUUUUUGUUGUCUUUUUGAAUAGAUUUGUGAGUAAUUGAGAGUGAAUUUGAAAGUAAAGUUUGUGAAAAUUAGUGUAAGAUUUGAUUGAUGUGAUAGGAAAAAAUUUGUUUAAUUGGUAGAAAUUGAAGAUUAUCAAAAUAUCCCUAAUUAUUAAUAUAAUAUAAAAUAAUAAUUGUUAAUGUUAUAUUUAAAGAGUAAAAAAUUAACAUUAACUAUUAAAAUUAAUUUCAUAAUUAUUAAAAUUAAUUUUAUAAUUAUAAAAAUUAAUUUUAAUAUUAUAUAAAAGAUAGUUAAUAAAUUAGAUGAGAUAAAAAAAAAAAAGUGUUAGCCUUUAUAUUAGAAGAUAUAUAUGUCAUUUUCUUAUAAAUCCUCACAAAUUUCAGCGUAUUAGCGAGUGAAUGAACAAUGACGUAAUUGUGCCUUUACCUUCAAAUCCGUCGUUUCUGCUCAUGCAAACACGACAUUCAACUUAAUUCCUCGCUUGCAAAUCAUCAUGAAUAGUCCAGUUCCUUAAAACGAAUACAGGCUCUGUUUCAGUUUUUAAAGACUGAUUGCAAAUUAAGAAUGGAUGAGUCAAUUUACUGAUAAGCCACCAAACUCUAAUACUUUGGAUUUGGAUCACAUUUUGGAUUACAUCGUAUAAUCAAAGGGAUGGAUAACAUCCUCUUUUAGUUUCAAAUCCAAUAGACCGUCUAAUUAACACUCAAUGGGUCAAAAUCAAUCUAAUUGGACACACAUAAGAUUCCAUAUCACCUCAAACAGAGAAGAAAUAACGAAUCCUUCAAUAUGCCACUAAUUUGAAACAAAACGGCAAGAAAAAAAGUUUCACAAUCAUAAAACCUAUCUCAACUCUUUCUUCAAACAGAUUCCGUGCUAUUUUCAGUCACCAUUCAGAGGUUCAGCAAAAUUAUUGAGCUUAAAACAAAGAACAUGCAUCUCGCACCAGCAAGUAAGUAGUAACAUACAUUCAACUACACUCACUUGCCACAAUCUCAAAGCAAAACCAACAUUGUUUCAUUCAAAAAACGAAGAUAAACACUUAUUUUCAAAGCAACACCGAAGCAUUCAUCAAUUCAGCACAGAACUAAAGUUUAUACACCGAUAUAUCUAUAUUGUGGAAUAGCAUUGGAGUGAAUUGAAAUGGCCUUCGAAUUUCAAACCUCUCACUUACAAUACGUCCCUCUAUUAAAAGUUGCUGAUCCGUUCAAGAUGGUGGGGCCAUGAUCUCACGGCAGCGACUGAGUACCGUGGAGUAAUCUGUGGAAGUGAGAGAGAAAUAAUAAUCUUGUCUAUUAAUUUAUAUUUUAAAAUAAUAAUUUACACAUAAAAGUUCGCAGAGAUAAUAUCUUAAUUCUAAAUUGUAAACUCUAAACUUAUAUUAUUGAUAUUUAAGGUUUUAAUCUUUUAUAUUAUAGCAAGAGUUUUGUCGCUGUGUUUAUUAAUUUUAAUAUUUUUUAUUAUAUCAAACUUCAUACGUAAAAUAUGAUUAUUAGUUUUAUCAAAUUAUAGAUAAUGAGUUUAAUUUUGAUAUAGUAUUAAUUAAGUUUUUUAAUAGUCAACUAUUAAUAAUACACUUUCUAGUAAUUCUUUUACACCAAUUUAUAUAAUAAGAUAAAAGUAAAUAAUAUUAUUAUAUUUAUACAAUUCUCAUAACUUAUGAAAAAUCUAAUUAAUAUAUAAUAAUAAUUUCUUGCAAUCUCAAAUAUAUUUAUACAUAAUAUGAUAGACACAUUGAUGGUAUGAGCAUCUUAUCCAUAAACAUAAGUUAUAAAAAAUGAAAAGAUUAAGAAAAUCACUUUGCUUCUCCACUCCACCAUCAAAAGUGUAUCUAAUAUAAUCAAAUACUAAUGCCAUGAUCAUAUUAGACCAUGGGAACCAUUAAAACCAUCAAAUUGCCAAUAAUGCUCAAAUGGACAUCAAUCACUAAUACCAUUAUGGUGAUCAACAUUAUCCCUUUGUCAUCAUCACCAUUGUCAUCCAUUAUAUUACACUUAGAGGACCACCACCACCACCCAUUGUCAUUUUAACCAUCCUAUUCUCAUCACAUUCACCAUUGUUCCCAAACAUAAUUAAUCCAAUAAUAUUAUCUUGUCUUGAGUUAAAUUUGACAAAAAUGACGUCUCCCAAUAGAAUUUUGGUGCUUAUGCAUGCAUUUGUGCAUCUUUUUUGGGAUACAUAUCUUAUCUUUACACUCACAUUAUACUAUCAUUUGGUUGUUAAUGUUUGGAGACAAUUGGCAUUGGACAUUGAUGUUAAGUUAAAAGACUUUAGAAAUUAUGUACAUAGUAAGGUUGAGUUUAGCCUUAAUCAAAUAAAAUGUAAUGUAGUUUUUCCUACACCUUUGUAUAAAAAAUUAAUUUUUUUUUUUCAAAAUCUAGAAGUUAAAAAUAAUUUCUAGACUGUACAAUCUAGAAAUUAUAAAAAUAACUUUAAAACUAUACCAUCUGAAAGUCAAAAGUUACUUUCAAAUUAUAAAAACUUCUAAAUGGUGUAAUAAAAGAACUAGUCAUUUUUAGCUUUUAUAGUACACACUCCAAAAGUAAUUUUAACUUUUUGAAUUAUAUAAUGUAACAUUUAUUUUUGACUACCAGAUUGAAUAAUCUAGAAAUUAACAUAAGUAAGUUCAGAAAAAAAAUUGUCAAAAUAUAGUAAGACUGACCCAAAUCAAGAAUUUGGAAAUUACUUCCUGCACCUCAUCAAAUUUCUACUCCCACCCAUCAAAAUGUCUUCUGUAAAAGGAGGGAUUGAUUGGGUUCAGGAAAAAAGUUUCCAGAAUUGGUUAUUGUGUUCUGAAACAUAAAUUUCAGAAGUGGUAGGAUGCAUGAAGAAAAUGUAAGGUUCAGGAAGAAGCUGCCCAACAACUUUCAUACAUGACCCUUAUCAAUGUCUAGCAAUGAGCUAGCACAAUAACCACAUUGAUAUUUACUUGACAUUGAACAAUCUACCUCAGCAUUUAAUGUGUCAUGUCAUUAUGCUUGUAAUACUCAGUGGACAAGCAAAUGAUGAAAAUGGUGACAUUUCAUGAUCUUUCACAAAUGUGGGGAAACCCUAAUCUUAUUUUGAACAUAAAAUGAAAACCCUAACCCAACAAACACUAAACCAAGCACAUCAACAAGUUCCUAUUUUACCAACUUAUAGAGAGUUCAAAUGAAUGGGAUAUGGCACAAAAACAUGAAGGCGACAUUGGAAAACAAGAUAAACCAAAAUGAAGAAAAAAUGAGAGAUCUAUAGAGUUAAGAGAAGAUGAGAACCACAAAAAGAAACUGAGUUUUUGGAAGAUCCAAACGAAGAGUCAAAGAUGUAGUAUCCCACUUCUUAGAGAAGAUAACAUAAUAAUACCUCAGCAUGUGAUUGUGCAUGUUAAUGGCAAGUGACUUUGGGAGACAUAUAUCAAACACCUUGUUUGCAUAAUGGGUCCCUUCAAUUUCAUUCAUCUUCACCAUUACUCAUUUUUCAUAUAUGACAUAAAGCAAAACCCCCUUUCAAAUCACCAAAUUAUCUCAUUUAGCUCCAUAUCAAAUUGCUUUCUUGCUAUUCUCAAAAUUCGUACUUUAUUUAAUUAGUUCAAUUAUAAAUACUCACAAUUUAACCAUUGAAAAGGAUAUUAUUAAAGUUGUUAAGAGAAUACAUAAAUUGAAUGUUGAUAAACUUUAAGGAUGUUAUAAAUAAAUGAAAAAAAAUAAAAAAACAUAAUUUUAUAGACAGAGUAUUUUGUAGUAUGUACCUUGUGGCACUUUCAUUUUGAUGAAGAGGAUCAUGGCCUCCUCACUACCACAUAAUGCUGUGCUGGUUGGCUAGGGUUCUAAUCACCCACCAUCCAUUUUUGUUGCUGUCUCUUCUUUUCCCCCAUUCACCUACCCUUAUGGACCUUUUCAUGGACUUUCUAGUGGGCCUGGCCCACCCUCCUUCAAAUGGGCCCACCCCUCCAUUUGUGUUUUCUUGGUAGUCCCACUUAUGUCUCAAUCUUUCUUUUCAUACUCCCCACACUGCUUUGUGCCAU
rnacentral:lncRNA from 1 species